CCUACGGGUGGCAGCAGUGAGGAAUAUUGGUCAAUGGACGAGAGUCUGAACCAGCCAAGUAGCGUGAAGGAUGACUGCCCUAUGGGUUGUAAACUUCUUUUAUAUGGGAAUAAAAUGUUCCACGUGUGGGAUUUUGUAUGUACCAUAUGAAUAAGGAUCGGCUAACUCCGUGCCAGCAGCCGCGGUAAUACGGAGGCUCCGAGCGUUAUCCGGAUUUAUUGGGUUUAAAGGGAGCGUAGGUGGAUUGUUAAGCCAGUUGUGAAAGUUUGCGGCUCAAACGUAAAAUUGCAGUUGAAACUGGCAGUCUUGAGUGCAGUAGAGGUGGGCGGAAUUCGUGGUGUAGCGGUGAAAUGCUUAGAUAUCACGAAGAACUCCGAUUGCGAAGGCAGUUCACUGGACUGCAACUGACACUGAGGCUCGAAAGUGUGGGUAUCAAACAGGAUUAGAUACCCCUGUAGUC
rnacentral:rRNA from 1 species